rnacentral:rRNA from 1 species
GUCCACGCCGUAAACGAUGGAUGCUAGCCGUCGGCAAGCUUGCUUGUCGGUGGCGCAGCUAACGCAUUAAGCAUCCCGCCUGGGGAGUACGGCCGCAAGGUUAAAACUCAAAGGAAUUGACGGGGGCCCCGCACAAGCGGUGGAGCAUGUGGUUUAAUUCGACGCAACGCGAAGAACCUUACCAGCUCUUGACAUGUCCGGACGGUUUCCAGAGAUGGACUCCUCCUAGCAAUAGGCCGGAACACAGGUGCUGCAUGGCUGUCGU